AGAAAAAAAAAUGCAAUUUCAUUAAAACCAAACUCAGAGAACAUCAGCAAUAACAAAAGCAGAAACAGAGAUAGGAAACUCUUCAAUCCAAAUCUGAAGAUCAUCUCCUUCGUGACUAAGUUUUGCCGAGGAAUUGCCUGUGCUCUUUAUGAAGGACCAAGAGUAGCUGACUAGUUGUCCAGCAAAUACAAAACAAUCUCGUAGCAGCAUCCCUAAAUCAGAGUGAUUCCAGUCUCCACUCUGUAACAGAUCAAUAAUAUCAGACUUCUAGAAUUAUCUUAGAGAAGCUUAAUUAGAUGAAGCGCAAGUUGCAGUCUCGGGAGCCCAUUAACCACAGCUUCUUAGCAGCGUAUGCCAUUAUCUGACCUACGCCUUUCCGAAGAAUAACACCCAAAAAACUUCCGGAGAGACCGGUGAACCAGCAUUAGUGUUUAUCUUUUUUAAGCCUGGAGGGCAGGGGCCAUAUAUCAAACAUGUGGCAGGCACGAUGGGGGAUGGGGGAAGUCCAAAUUUUCAUAGUUAUGGACCUGUUCAUAGUCGGCCAGAAAAACACCAGCUUUACUAACCACCUUCUGAGCUCCACCAGCGUCCUUCAAAAUCAACAAAAUUCUGCCCAUUCAAAUAAUAACACAAUGAAGCAAGUGUUAAAUUUGGAUAAGUAGCGAGAAGUAUUUAAUAAGGGGCACUUAUCUCAAACCAUUGUGGAUUCAACACACUCUUCUUAGGGUCCGUUUACACUGGAGCAUGACAUUUAUGAAAUAUCCAAUAUUAGUGAGAGACUCGGAUACUAUGUCAUUGUGAAUCAUACCUAGGAAGAAGUGCUUAAACUCC
rnacentral:lncRNA from 1 species